ACACAUGCAAGUCGAGGGGCAGCGGGGGGGAAGCUUGCUUUCUCCGCGGGCGACCGGCGCACGGGUGAGUAACACGUAUGCAACCUGCCCCUGUCAGGGGGACAACCCGCCGAAAGGCGGGCUAAACCCGCGUACAUGCCACCGGGGCAUCCCGGAGGCAGGAAAGGCUUCGGCCGGACAGGGAUGGGCAUGCGGCGCAUUAGGCAGUAGGCGGGGUAACGGCCCACCUAACCGACGAUGCGUAGGGGUUCUGAGAGGAAGGUCCCCCACACUGGUACUGAGACACGGACCAGACUCCUACGGGAGGCAGCAGUGAGGAAUAUUGGUCAAUGGUCGGGAGACUGAACCAGCCAAGCCGCGUGAGGGAGGAAGGUACAGAGUAUCGUAAACCUCUUUUGUCAGGGAACAAAGGCGGGGACGUGUCCCCGGAUGAGUGUACCUGAAGAAAAAGCAUCGGCUAACUCCGUGCCAGCAGCCGCGGUAAUACGGAGGAUGCGAGCGUUAUCCGGAUUUAUUGGGUUUAAAGGGUGCGCAGGCGGUCUGUUAAGUCAGCGGUCAAAGCCCGGGGCUCAACCCCGGCCCGCCGUUGAAACUGGCAGUCUCGAGUUGGAGAGAAGUAUGCGGAAUGCGCGGUGUAGCGGUGAAAUGCAUAGAUAUCGCGCAGAACUCCGAUUGCGAAGGCAGCAUGCCGGCUCCACACUGACGCUGAGGCACGAAAGCGUGGGUAUCGAACAGGAUUAGAUACCCUGGUAGUCCACGCAGUAAACGAUGAAUGCUGGCUGUCCGGGGGGAUUGACCCCUGGGUGGCGAAGCGAAAGCGAUAAGCAUUCCACCUGGGGAGUACGCCGGCAACGGUGAAACUCAAAGGAAUUGACGGGGGCCCGCACAAGCGGAGGAACAUGUGGUUUAAUUCGAUGAUACGCGAGGAACCUUACCCGGGCUCAAACGGGAAGUGACUCAGGCAGAGACGCCUGUUUCCCACGGGACACUCCCCGAGGUGCUGCAUGGUUGUCGUCAGCUCGUGCCGUGAGGUGUCGGCUUAAGUGCCAUAACGAGCGCAACCCCCGCGUGCAGUUGCUAACAGAUAACGCUGAGGACUCUGCACGGACUGCCGGCGCAAGCCGCGAGGAAGGCGGGGAUGACGUCAAAUCAGCACGGCCCUUACGUCCGGGGCGACACACGUGUUACAAUGGGUGGUACAGCGGGAAGCCAGGCGGCGACGCCGAGCGGAACCCGAAAUCCACUCUCAGUUCGGAUCGGAGUCUGCAACCCGACUCCGUGAAGCUGGAUUCGCUAGUAAUCGCGCAUCAGCCAUGGCGCGGUGAAUACGAACCCGGGCCUUGCACACACCGCCCGUCAAG
rnacentral:rRNA from 1 species